rnacentral:lncRNA from 1 species
GACAGCAGAGAGAAGAGUCUCUUUUAGACAGCCAUCACUAGUCUGACGGACCGAAGGACAGUGUCUUCCGAGGACUGGGACGGAUUCUUGACUCGGGUGUUUGGGAAGCGGAGGGGGGAGUCGCCUUCCUCGGAUUUCGAGUGUCUUGACCUUGGUCCCUCAGUCAUCCAUCAAGUGUCUAUGCGCUGGCACCUGAGAGCCCUCCUGGAUGGGCCUGCCCUCACCCGCAGCGGCAG